CGAGCUGAUAGAGGUGCGGGACAGAUCAGUAGCGCUGCCAUUACAGUCUGCGGAGACCGGCUGCGUGAAAGGCUUACCGCCGAAGAAUGCAUAUUCCGUGAUGUGCAUGUCUGGCUGUGCGUCAAACAGGCGUCCGGUUGUCAUCGGUCUGAUGGAGAGCUAUCGCACUU
rnacentral:ncRNA from 2 species